UACGUAGGGUGCAAGCGUUGUCCGGAAUUAUUGGGCGUAAAGAGCUCGUAGGCGGUUUGUCGCGUCGGGAGUGAAAACACACGAUCUAACUGUGUGCUUGCUUCCGAUACGGGCAGACUAGAGGUAUGCAGGGGAGAACGGAAUUCCUGGUGUAGCGGUGAAAUGCGCAGAUAUCAGGAGGAACACCGGUGGCGAAGGCGGUUCUCUGGGCAUUACCUGACGCUGAGGAGCGAAAGUGUGGGGAGCGAACAGG
rnacentral:rRNA from 1 species